GCUAACCCCGGGCAGGAGGCCGUGUUAAGAGGGAGGGGGCAAGCGUUAAGCGGAAGUACGUGGCGGAAAGCGCACGCAGGCGGUCGGUCAAGUCGGAUGUGAAAUCCCCGGGCUCAACCUGGGAACUGCAUUCGAAACUGGCAGGCUAGAGUCUUGUAGAGGGGGGUAGAAUUCCAGGUGUAGCGGUGAAAUGCGUAGAGAUCUGGAGGAAUACCGGUGGCGAAGGCGGCCCCCUGGACAAAGACUGACGCUCAGGUGCGAAAGCGUGGGGAGCAAACAGGAUUAGAUACCCCAGUAGUC
rnacentral:rRNA from 1 species